AUUGAACGCUGGCGGCAGGCCUAACACAUGCAAGUCGAGCGGGAACUUCGGUUCUAGCGGCGGACGGGUGAGUAAUGCGUAGGAAGCUACCCGACAGAGGGGGAUACCAGUUGGAAACGACUGUUAAUACCGCAUAAUGUCUACGGACCAAAGUGUGGGACCCUCGGGCCACAUGCUGUCGGAUGCGCCUACGUGGGAUUAGCUAGUUGGUGAGGUAAUGGCUCACCAAGGCGACGAUCCCUAGCUGGUUUGAGAGGAUGAUCAGCCACACUGGAACUGAGACACGGUCCAGACUCCUACGGGAGGCAGCAGUGGGGAAUAUUGGACAAUGGGCGCAAGCCUGAUCCAGCCAUGCCGCGUGUGUGAAGAAGGCCUUCGGGUUGUAAAGCACUUUCAGUAGGGAGGAAGGGGUUGUAGUUAAUAGCUGCAACUUUUGACGUUACCUACAGAAGAAGCACCGGCUAACUCUGUGCCAGCAGCCGCGGUAAUAC
rnacentral:rRNA from 1 species